rnacentral:rRNA from 1 species
UACGGAGGGUGCAAACGUUAUCCGGAGUUACUGGGCGUAAAGGGCGUGUAGGUGGUUUCGUAAGUCUGGCGUGAAAUUUUUCGGCUUAACCGGGAAAGGUCGUCGGAUACUGCAGAACUAGAGGACGGUAGAGGCGUGUGGAAUUCCGGGUGUAGUGGUGAAAUGCGUAGAGAUCCGGAGGAACACCAGUGGCGAAGGCGACACGCUGGGCCGUACCUGACACUGAUGCGCGACAGCAUGGGGAGCAAACAGG